CUCCUCUCCUGCCGCCGCCACCGCCUUGGCCUCGGCGCCCGUGCUCUCCCGGCGCCCGUCGGCCUCGAUCCGGCCUCAGCAGGAGGAGCUCGGCCUCGAGACUCGGCAGGAGGAGCUCGCCCUCGAGUAGGACUCAACAGGAGGAGGGGAGCAGCAGCUGCGCCCCAUGCUCUCUCGCCACCCUCGAGGUGAAGGUAACGGAUGAAAUCCCAUGGACGAGCUCGAGCUGGAAGGACGCGGACGGCAGCGACUUGGACCAACAUCGUCCUGCCGGUGCCUUGCCGGUGAGCGCCACGCAUGGUGCAGCAGGCGGCAGGCACGACUUUGGGAGCUGCGCAUCGAGCGACGACUACUGCAUCUGCCGCCAGCACCAAGCCAAGAUGUAGAGCGGUGGUCGACGGCGGCAACCUGCUCCCAAGUUGCAAGUGAUGUUGCCAGAUAGCAGUAUACCAAGGGUUCUAAGAAUUUGAUUCAUAAAUGUAGCCAAGAUGCAGCGCGGUGGUCGACGGCGGCGGCCUGCUCCCAAGUUGCAGGUGCGUGCAUGGACAUCUUCAUGAUUACUGAUUAUAAGAUCUUCAUGAUUACUGAUUAUAAGUG